rnacentral:rRNA from 1 species
AAAUAGCAUAUCAAUAAGCGGAGGAAAAGAAACCAACAGGGAUUGCCCUAGUAACGGCGAGUGAAGCGGCAACAGCUCAAAUUUGAAAUCUGGCGUCUUUGGCGUCCGAGUUGUAAUUUGCAGAGGGCGCUUUGGCAUUGGCAGCGGUCCAAGUUCCUUGGAACAGGACGUCACAGAGGGUGAGAAUCCCGUACGUGGUCGCUAGCCUUUACCGUGUAAAGCCCCUUCGACGAGUCGAGUUGUUUGGGAAUGCAGCUCUAAAUGGGAGGUAAAUUUCUUCUAAAGCUAAAUACUGGCCAGAGACCGAUAGCGCACAAGUAGAGUGAUCGAAAGAUGAAAAGCACUUUGGAAAGAGAGUUAAAAAGCACGUGAAAUUGUUGAAAGGGAAGCGCUUGCAGCCAGACUUGCCUGUAGUUGCUCAUCCGGGUUUUUACCCGGUGCACUCUUCUAUGGGCAGGCCAGCAUCAGUUUGGGCGGUUGGAUAAAGGUCUCUGUCACGUACCUCCUCUCGGGGAGAACUUAUAGGGGAGACGUAAUGCAACCAGCCUGGACUGAGGUCCGCGCAUCUGCUAGGAUGCUGGCGUAAUGGCUGUAAGCGGCCCGUCUUGAAACACGGACCAAGGAGUCUAACAUCUAUGCGAGUGUUUGGGUGUCAAGCCCGAGCGCGUAAUGAAAGUGAACGGAGGUGGGAACCUUUCGGGGUGCACCAUCGACCGAUCCUGAUGUCUUCGGAUGGAUUUGAGUAAGAGCAUAGCUGUUGGGACCCGAAAGAUGGUGAACUAUGCUUGAAUAGGGUGAAGCCAGAGGAAACUCUGGUGGAGGCUCGCAGCGGUUCUGACGUGCAAAUCGAUCGUCAAAUUUGGGCAUAGGGGCGAAAGACUA